GACGACGGGUAGCCGGCCUGAGAGGGCGACCGGCCACACUGGGACUGARACACGGCCCAGACUCCUACGGGAGGCAGCAGUGGGGAAUAUUGCACAAKGGGCGAAAGCCUGAUGCAGCGACGCCGCGUGAGGGAUGACGGCCUUCGGGUUGUAAACCUCUUUCAGCAGGGAAGAAGCGAAAGUGACGGUACCUGCAGA
rnacentral:rRNA from 1 species